GGAGUCUAACACGUGCGCGAGUCGUUGGGAGUUACGAAACCCGUUAGGCCCACUGAAGGUGACCUUUUCUUACGAAUCGGUAGGUGGGAUCCCGGACUUCCCGCUCGCUCCGAGAAUGGGCGCACCACCGGUCUGUCUCGGCCGCGACGACGCGGAGCCGNGCAAACACGUUCGCACCGGAGAAAUGNAAGAUGNUGAACUAUGCCUGAGGAAGCAUGAAG
rnacentral:rRNA from 1 species